rnacentral:rRNA from 1 species
AUGAAUCUCAUCAGUUGGAACUGCCGGGGGGCGGGGAACUCCCGGACAGUUCGUGAAAUUGCGACGAUCUCUCAGUCGCAUUCCCCCAUGCUAGUCUUUCUCUGUGAGACUAGACAAAAAGCUUCAAAAAUGAGAAGGAUACAAUCUCGUAUUGGCUUAAAAGGUUUUGAUGGUGUUGAUAGUUCUGGGAUGAGUGGGGGACUAGCUCUCUUCUGGCAUGAGUCCUAUUUGGUGGAGAUCAUGGACAAAAAUGACCGUUACAUUGAUGCUCUGGUCAGGGAGAACGUUGAUGCAACACAGUGGAGGGUUACCUUUGUGUACGGUGAACCUCGCGUCGAGAACCGGCAUCUAAUGUGGUCCAAAUUGCAAGCUCUAUCAAAUACAAGUGAAUGUCCAUGGUUAGUGAUUGGUGACUUCAAUGAAGCUCUUUGGGAUUUUGAACACAUGUCUGCUACACCAAGACCUGAACCACAAAUGAUUGCAUUCAGAGAUACUCUAGAGAUUUGUGGCCUGGUUGAUCUUGGUUUUUCUGGCAUAUCAUUUACUUAUGACAAUCUGCGAGCGGGAGCAGCCAAUGUGAAAGUGCGGCUGGAUAGAGCUACAGCUACAAAUGACUAG